GCCCCAAUGGUCUAGUGGAUAGGAUUUAACCCCGCGGAGGUUAAGGCCCGGGUUCGAUCCCCGGUUGGGGCA
rnacentral:tRNA from 1 species